GCGCGGCGGCACGGCCGGUCAUUCGACACGUGGAGGAAGCGACCAUGUUGAAGUUUUUCGAUUUUUCACCAAAGAAUAUGAAGAUAUUCCGUAAUCACCAUAUCUUACCCUGGUCCAUGAUACACAUGAUACUGGCUGAGAUGUCAAGUUGUCUCCACGACACUCAUGUUGGAGGCAGUCCUUCCUGCUGGCGCCCUCGAUUUGUCCAAAAAUCAGCUGAGGACAACGAGCACAAUCCAAUGCAUGCUUUGCCUAUAACAUUCCCUCUGGCUUCGCUCGUUGUGCUCGACUGAAGAUCACACGUGAUCCACCGACACCCGAUACAGAUGCAACAGACAACGAUAGCCAAGAUGUCACGUGGCACAGGAAGAGAUGGAAUCUCAACAGAUGAGGGAGACGCGGAUGACUUCUUCACUCGCCGCAGAACAACACAAGAAUAGUAUAAGGCAAGACCAACACUUUGUGAAAUUGUCCUGUCAACCCUAGUUAAUACACUUGUCAAUUUUCUUGCUGAAAAUUAUUUCAAUUUAUGGUGUAAUCCCUUUUAUAGUCUGCUCAGAGUGGCUUAAAUUAAAUUAAAUCAUGAACUCUAUUUUCGUUUGGUAACAGGAGCAGGUAAACCAUUAAUAAUAAAUUUGUGUCUCAAAGUAAUUAAUUACAUGUUCAUGUAUGCAUGUAAUAAGUUUAUACAUGUUAUAUUGCGGCAAAACACUAGUGUCGAAUCCAUUUAUGGCCUCCAUAUGGUACUUGGUAAAGCAUAAACAUGACAAGUGUAUGACUGGGUACAAUAGCGAGGUUUCGCAUGCCUGACGAUGUACGAUUACGUUUUGAAAUUACUAAGAUGAAACAAAUACUCUUUAUCCUGUAACGUAGUGUCCCGGUGUGACAGCGGAUAUAGUUCCCCUGGAGUCAUAGUCCGGUAGCAUUGUAUUUGACCAAUUAAGCAGCAUGAUCUAUUGUACCGCUAACCCUAACCAAAACAUUUAGCAAUGCGGGCUAUUGUUACACGGACUAUCAGCCCUAGGACU